AUUAAGGAAAGGAGGCGGGGAGGGGGAGAGCGUGCGCGUGCGCGCAGAGCUGUGACCGAGCGGGUUGGGAUUACGCACGCCGGCGCGCACCCACUGGUCCCCCCCUGAGGCGAUCCGGCGGGGCGCGAGUCGGGCACGCACGGAGAGGAGGGUGUCACGGCUUUUCCCUUCCCCAGGGGAGCCGGAGCCCGAUUCUCUGAAUUGAUGUGGCCAGUACAGCAUUGCUGAAAUAGUUUUGCAGUCGCUGCUGUUUGUGUCCUCCUCUGAUAAUCCUGUAAAGGAAGUCUGAAACUCACUCGACGGGAUAAUUGGAAAUUCUAAAGGCUUUUCUUCACUUAUAAUGAAACCUUAAAAAGUAGAGACGAAAAUAAUUAGAAGAUGGCAGCAGCAAUGAGCAGCAUUAACGAGCUUCCAGAAAAUGAAUACUUUAAAAAGCUAUCAGGACGAGAGUCAAUCUCAGAGAAUGAUCCAUUCUGGAAUCAACUGCUUUCUCUUAGCUUUAACACCCCAACAAACAGUUCUGAAUUAAAGCUUUUGGAAGAAGCUGCAAUCUCAGUCUGCAAGUCUUUAGUGGAGAACAAUCCGCGGACAGGGAACCUUGCAGCAUUAAUUAAAGUCUUCCUUUCAAGAACCAAAGAGUUAAAAAUUUCAGCAGAAUGUCAAAACCACCUCUUUAUCUGGCAAGCUCACAAUGCACUGUUUAUUAUUUGCUGCCUACUCAAAGUGUUGAUCUGUCAGAUGUCAGAAGAGGAGCUGCAACUUCAUUUUACCUAUGAGGAAAGAGCACCAGGCU